rnacentral:rRNA from 1 species
UACGUAGGGAGCAAGCGUUGUCCGGAAUCAUUGGGCGUAAAGCGCGCGUAGGCGGCCCGAUAAGUCCGCUGUGAAAGUCAACGGCUCAACUGUUGGAUGCCGGUGGAUACUGUCGGGCUAGAGUACGGAAGAGGCAAGUGGAAUUCCUGGUGUAGCGGUGGAAUGCGCAGAUAUCAGGAGGAACACCUAUAGCGAAGGCAGCUUGCUGGGACGUUAACUGACGCUAAGGCGCGAAAGCGUGGGGAGCGAACGAGGA